rnacentral:rRNA from 1 species
UACGGGGGGGGUAAGCGUUGUUCGGAAUUACUGGGCGUAAAGGGCUCGUAGGCGGCCAACUAAGUCAGACGUGAAAUCCCUCAGCUUAACUGGGGAACUGCGUCUGAUACUGGAUGGCUUGGAUUCGGGAGAGGAAUGCGGAAUUCCAGGUGUAGCGGUGAAAUGCGCAGAUAUCAGGAGGAACACCGAUGGCGAAGGCAGGUCUCUGGGCAUUAACUGACGCUGAGGAGCGAAAGCAUGGGGAGCGAACGGG